GCGGAGGGGGACACUUGCGGGGGGACGUGGGACUAUCUGGGCAAGUGUGACGAGGGCCUGCUGUGUGUUUACCAGGAGUCAGGAGCAGAGGACAAACCAGACGCAGAGCGCAGAGGCGUCUGUAAAGCAGUGAUUGAAUCAUUGGAUCCAGAGGGCUGUCACCCAGAGUGCACCAGGGAGUACUGUCAGGCAAACCGCACGGAAAUCUGCUCUGCCAGGCUUGUCUCUCUGGAGAAGACAGCAUGCCAGGGCUCCUGCCAACACACCUCCUGUUCAAGCUGUCUGCUCCUGAAACCCCCAUCAUGCACUCAGACCUGCACCCCCGCUGACUCAUCCUGCCUGCGCCAGUUUGGGAAGUGUGUGCACAAUCACCUGACAGCCACUCAUAACACUGUAUGCAACAACAACAACAAC